UUGGAACAAAAACUGAAUUUUAUUCCACAUACUGCACUUCAGGUGUCUGCAUUUAGAUCACACCUAUCACAAACAAAAAUGCCGCAGUGGUACAACUAAAUACACUUCGAGUGAACAGAGAAAUGUGGAAUGUUUUUAUACUUAUCAGACUUUUGUGUUCAUUUGUAGAAUCCAUAUUGUAUACAGGAUAGUAACUUACAAACAAUAUCAUCAACUCAAGAUUUUUUUUCUUUCAAAUAAAGUGCAUUUCUACUACUCUCUCUGUCAACCACGAAAAGAACAAGACAUUUUAAAACAUGUAUUAUAGACACCACUGAUCAGCAAAAGGCCUGAAUUUUGAUACAAUAACUGCAGGAGUUUACAGUUUGUUUUCUUAAUCGGGUGAUUUGAGAUGACCUGAUGACUCCUUUAUUACAUCAAGGUAUAAAAGGACUCCUUGCUGUGAAUAUAAGACAGUAUAUUUAAAAAUGUAACUAUUCACAAAGAUAUAAUUAACAGUCACAACGGAAAAUUAAUAAUUCAUGUUUCAAGUGUUCAUUUUAUAAUUACUGCAAAUAUUUUGUCAUUAGAACUGUAAAUGCAUAUUUGGUAACCGUAUGGCUAACAACAACCAUCAAAUCAGUGCUCUGCACUUCAUCAAGGAAACACUCACUUCUAAUAGAUUAUGAUUUUUCAAAUAUUUGAUAUCAAUGCUAACCACUGGAGGGCAGUAGAGUAGUGUGUCAAAUGGGAAAAGAAAUCCCUGCCAAGCACGUAAGGCAUGGGAUAUGUUUUCAUAUUCAUGAAUGGUUAUGUGAAAAAACUGUAGAGUGCCAACACAGCAGAGAUCAGCCUCCCGGUUUGUAGCUCUAUGCAGUCUUAAGCUCAUUGUUGCGGGUUUCCAGGCAGAUACAACAAUGUAAAGCAACAAGCGGCUGCUCUUCGUUAAACUGUACACUGAACACCCAGUCGGAAAUGACCGAGACAAACUUUCACUAGAUAUGUUGUGCAGACUGAACCACUUGUUUGAGGUUUGGAGGUAAAAGUACAUUUCAGUCCGUGAACUUCUGCCUUGGUGUCAGAUUUACAUGCUGUUGUUGGCUGAAUCAGUUUCCCUUUUACAUUUUUAGAACCUCGAAUAUCUACAAUAAAUCAAAUCACUGGCAGAAAGUGACAAUUAACAAUCACAUCUGGAUUAAUCUGUUUAGCCACCUACUCUCACACAUGGAUUUGCAUAAGAUUAUGUACACUGGAUAGUCAUGAAUUACAAGAAAGUGACUAUGACCAAUGAGAGAGGAACAUCUUUUUGUGUGUGUGUGUCUCCUGUGAACAUUUCCCAGCAUUCCUGCUGAGAUCACUAACAAACAUGUUUAUCUGUAUGUUGCACAGCAAAAUGUGAGGAUUAUAUUAAUCAGUCUGGACAAGCUAACUUGUAAGUACCUAAAUACAAAGUCAUUCUGAUUACACUGUAGAUAGCCUGGUUUAAUGAGAACAGGCUCGAUGUGAUAUUCCAUGUAUGCACAAACCCUACUUUUGCUAUAGAGCCCUUUAACAAGUAGAUUAUAGUAUGCUACAUCCAUGACUGCCUGCUUUUCCAGAUUUGACUGAAAACAACACAUGGGUUCACUGCAUAUGUGCAUAAUACAUUUUUCUAUGCCUUAACAUGCUAUAGUCUUCCAAGCAACCUUCACUGUGCCGGUUUAAUUUGUUGGGGAAGGAUUUCCUUCCUGCUUAAAAAAUACAAUAAUACUUUAACUGUUACUGGAUCCUGACUGCUCAUUUUGAGGGGAAUUUCCAUGCCAUGACCCUCGCUGAGUCGGCCGAGUCUUUGAACAGACACAAACAUGGUCACACGCUUCUUAAUCCACUCAUAAACACACUUGUGUCCUAAUUCGUGUGACCACAGGCGUAUGGAUUUAAAUGCAUGAAAAUCAGCUGCUGACACGGCUGCUUCCUGUGGCGAUGUGUGAGUGUGUGUUUGCGAAUGUGGCAGCAGCCAGAGAUGGAGUGAAGAAAAGGGCUGCGGUAGCCCAUCCUGUGAAGGAGAGAUAAGCGCCGAGCGCCGAGGUCUGACGUUCUUGCUUUCCUCUGUGGCCUUCAAGAACCACCAGAAAUUGUCCCAGGGUAGCUAAACACACAUGCGCUUGCACACACAAACACACACACACACAAAAUCCCCUGCGACAGAGAUUGCGAGACUGUGCUCGCUGUGACGUCCGCUGAUAGAGUGCCUGCUUUGGCUUCGUCUGACCGUUUAACUCAGGAAAGUAAACUGCUGGAUGAUGACUAAAGAGCUCAAUUAUCUUCUUACUCAGUAACUGUUUGAUGUGUCAACUUUGAUUUGACUGUUUCACUGCUUUGGUUGACGAGCAGUAAAAAAACCAAACAAAAAAACAAAAAAAAGGGCUGGCUGAAAGAAAAAAUAGAGUGACUGGAUUUGGUAUUCACAGUAUUCAGCAUGUUUUGAUCUGUAAAGCACUUUUUGACCAUCUUGUACCUAUUAUACAUGUACAGUACAAACCAUGUGACAUGCAUUCACACAGACCCACACAUAUACAUCUGAUAAAGUG
ensembl:lncRNA